UUUGAAAUGACUUUGAAGUGAACAGGCUGAUCUCUGCACAAGUUUUGGUGUAGUGUGGAUGUGAACUGGUCAGUCACAGAAGAAUGGGUAGAACUGGACGGAUGCUGUGUAUGUGCUGCCCAACAUCUCCUACUCAAUGGAUUACCAGAAAUCCUGAAUCACACCUUGUAGUCAAGCAGGAUUUCUCUAUCUUUGAGAAGUCUUGUCUAGUGGAAGUUGUCCCUGCCCAUGGCAGGCAGUCAUCUGAAUAAAGAGACUACCAGGCACUAAAUGGGUUAAAAUUGCUGUGGCAGCAGAAGUACCUUGUGUGACAGAAGCUUUGGUCCCUCUGAGGUAAUGGAGGCUGUUAGCAGCUGGAUCCCAACUGAUCUCUAGUGGUAGGAUCCAGGGAGGAGAGAAGAAGCAGAAAAACAGACAAAAAGCCCAAGUCUUUCUGCAUCAAGUCCUAUAUCCAAAAGCAGAUUGGAAGUCUGUGCAAGCUGCAGUGAAUUGGAGUAACGUGCAUUGUUCGCCAGUUCUGCUAAAUGCCUUCUUCAAGGAGCAAUCUGGAAUAAGUGGCUCACAUUAGGAGAUCUGGAAAAAAGCUGCACAGGGAGCAAGUGAGGAGACCGGAAUCAAAAUGAUGGUAAUGUAUCCUUGGUCAUAAGGCAGAGAUCACAAAAUCCUGUUAAAGCCUCCAGUGUAUCACUCUCCCUUUCCAGGAUUCACGCCCUCAAAAGCAUUUUAUGCUGCUUUUCCUUCUCACAUUUGGACUGGAUUACAGAGCUAUCUGCAACCGGAGAUGAGGAGCAUUUUUACAGGCUAACAAAUCUACUAGAACCAAUGGUUUUAAUCUCUCCUUGGCUACAGAAUCAAAGCCAAGUUCUUUGCAGGUGCAAAUGGGAUCUGCUCCACUGCCUUAGGUGGAGUUUCACUCAUUUACACCAUUAAAGAAUUUGGCACUGAGGAUAUUGAGAUCAAAAGGUUCCAGUUGGCAAGGAGAUGUGCAGAAGAGAAUCUGUCUGGGGAAAUAUUCUGAGAAGACUUAUCUAUCCUGUGAAAAGAGAACGUACCUCUCCCUGGAGCAGUCUGGUAUUGAUAAAUCCAAAUUAUGCUACAUUUUGGGACAUCUCCUCUGACCCUGCUAAUUCUAAACUGGGCAGUUUAGAAAGUCUGCCAAAACCCAGCAGAAGGAAAGCACAUUGGUGUGCUCCUCUAUGUGCAUUUUUACAUUAUCCGAUCAUAUGCACAUUUUAUGCUUUUAUUUUCCCCUAACGUAACAAUUACUGGUGGUCUGUAUUGUUCAUUUAAUGAAAUGAGGUUUGGAACAUAUCCUGCCAUAGCUGCUUGCACAACACACACAAAAAGAAGUAUCAUUACUAGAUAUGUCUGCAUGGUGCCACUACUCCAUUGCCAGAAGCAAAUUUCACCUCAUUUGGAGUUCUUGCACAUGCAACAAAGCCUUUGCCAUUAUUGUUUC